rnacentral:rRNA from 1 species
GACGAACGCUGGCGGCGUGCCUAAUACAUGCAAGUCGAACGCAGUGGGGACGGGUGAGUAACACGUGGGUAACCUCCCAUCAGAGGGGAUAACACUUGGAAACAGGUGCUAAACCGAUACUGAUGGAUGGACCCGCGGUGCAUUAGCUAGUUGGUGAGGUAACGGCUCACCAAGGCCACGAUGCAUAGCGGACCUGAGAGGGUGAGCGGCCAAACUGGAACUGAGACACAGACCAGACCCCUACGGGGGGCAGCAGUAGGGAAUAUUGGGCAAUGGACGAAAGUCUGACGGAGCAACGCCGCGGGAAUGAAGAAGGUAUUCGGAUCGUAAAGCUCUUUUAUUAGAGAAGCGUUACCUAACCAGAAAGCCACGGCUAACUUCGAGCCAGCAGCCGCGGUGAUUC